rfam:Gossypium arboreum cultivar AKA8401 contig_16239_1, whole genome shotgun sequence.
UGUUAAAAAAUUCAUUCAUUUGUACUAUUAAAAACUGACCUGAUUGAAUAACCAUAUAAUGAUACAUGAUAUACUACAUGUUGAUAUACAUGACCAAUUUUUAACAGUAGCAAUUGAUGAAAUUAUUAACA